UACGGAGGGUGCAAACGUUGCUCGGAAUUAUUGGGCGUAAAGCGCACGUAGGCGGCUUGUUAAGUCGGAUGUGAAAGCCCCAGGCUCAACCUGGGAAGUGCAUUCGAAACUGGCGAGCUUGAAUAUGGAAGAGGGUCGCGGAAUUCCCGGUGUAGAGGUGAAAUUCGUAGAUAUCGGGAGGAACACCGGUGGCGAAGGCGGCGACCUGGGUAGAUACUGACGCUGAGGUGCGAAAGCGUGGGGAGCAAACAGG
rnacentral:rRNA from 1 species